rnacentral:misc_RNA from 1 species
AACGAUCCGGCACAGACGGUCUACAGACAUGGGCUGGUGGGCGGUGUAUUGGUGCCUGGUUUUGGAAGUGCUUCUGCUGACGUCACUGUCGUCUGCUGCUAAAAAUUACGUAAUAACAGAAGGACAGGGAUCACUGACCGUUCAAAUCAAUGACGUCACGGUAUUGAACCACACCCUGCAGUCACCUGCGUUUUAUGUUGGACAGGGGAGGACAGUAUUUGUGGAAGCUUUAGGGAACUUCCAUGUGAGAAACUACAUACAAGAAAAAAUCGCACUACGGAGAUUUUCAAAUGUCCAGAAAACAAAUACCUCGGACGUUUAUAACUUCACAGAUGGCGGAAUUUACACAGUUCAGGUUACUUUUGAGACUAAGCUCGACCAGGACCUAGUCGUAUCGUUUAAUAAAGUCGGUCACAAUUACACCCACACCUGGGUGGUCCUGGCGGCCUCCCCCUCGGACAAAAUCUACGGCGGGGGUGAGCAGUUCACCCACCUUAACCUGAGGGAGAGGACCUACAACUCGCUGGAGUUCUUCUCUUCCCUACGCUCCGACGACCUCACCUACCCAAUAUGGACCCGAGAGCAAGGUGUUGGGCGAGACAAGAGGACCAACACCACGUUCUUUGCCGACCUCCAGACGGGGGGUGGGGGAGACUUCGCCACCACCUACUUCCCCCAGCCCACCUUUCUCACGUCCCGGAAGUACUACUUUCACUUCACCUCCACCAGCUACAUGGUCUUUGACUUCAGCUUGCCAACCUUUCACCAAGUGUUUAUCAAUGGAGACUUCGGUGACAUCUACUUUAAAUCCUCGCCAUCUUUCCAGCCGUUGGUUGGAAACCUGUCGUCCUUGUUUGGACGAAUGCCAAAACUUCCUCCAUGGGUGUAUGAUGGUAUCAUCAUGGGAGUCCAGGGAGGGACUGACGUGAUGAUGAAAAGGUACCAGCAAGCCAAGGCCGAGGGUGUCAACAUCCGGGGUCUGUGGAUCCAGGACUGGUCAGGGAUCAUCAGAACUUCGUUUGGCCAAAGAGUUUUCUGGAACUGGCAAUGGAAUGCCACGAGGUACCCAGAUUUAGACAAGAAAAUCAAAGAACUGAAGCAGGACGGGGUGAGGGUCACUGUGUAUAUGAAUCCCAAUCUUAACAACCAAGGCCCUCUCUUCAAGGAGGCAGAGAAAAAUGAUUACCUCGUCAAAAACAGGACCGGCCAAACCUAUCUCUUUAACUUUGGCGAGUUCUUUUGUGGGAUCGUGGACCUCACCAAUGGCGCCGCCUACAACUGGUACAAAGACCAAAUCAAGAGGAAUAUAAUAGACCUUGGUAUUGGCGGGUGGAUGGCGGAUUUCGGGGAGUACCUUCCUGUCGAUGCCAGGCUGAACGGAGGCUCUGGGGCAAUGUUCCACAAUCACUGGCCGGUUCUGUGGGCCAAGUUGAAUCGGGAGGCUGUCCAGGAGUCGGGAAAGGAGGGGGAGGUUGUGUUCUGGAUGCGGGCUGGACAUACAGGUACUUCAAACUUCACGACCUUGAUGUGGCUUGGUGACCAGAACGUGGAUUGGAGCGAGGGUGACGGCCUCCCCUCCGUGGUCCCCUCGGCCCUGUCCUCGGGCCUCUGUGGGAUAGGUAUGACCCACAUUGACAUCGGUCUGUACACCACGUUUGGGGCCUUGGGUCUGAAAAGGUCGGCGGAGUUACUGCUCAGGUCUGCUGAAAUGGCCGUGUUCUCGCCAGUAAUGAGGACUCACGAAGGUACGGCGUGUGAGAAUUAUCCAAGUCAUGAUACUGCAUUGCAUUUAUCCAGCAUAUCUUUCACAGCAUCCAUUACACGUCCGAUAACAAGGUUUAAAGAGACAACGCCGGUAUCCGUUACCAAGGUCUAACACAAACUAAUCAUUCAAUUGUCGUACAUUUGAUUUCUGGAGUUUCGUUUAUUUGCAGGCAACCAGCCAGGUUACAAUGUUCAGAUGUACAGUUCUGUCACCAUUCUUCGUCUGUUCAAGCGUUUGGUUGAUCAGCACAAAGCUUUGUCCAACUACACGUCUGUCGCCAUGGAUGAUUACGUCACUUCCGGUCUCCCGCUUCAAAGACCCUUGUUUCUCAUGUAUCCAGGGGAUAAAAAGACAUUUGAUAUAAAGUACCAAUAUCUGUAUGGCGCCGAUAUACUUGUAGCCCCUGUUAUUCACCCAAAUGUCGUGAAAAAAGACGUAUACCUUCCAAAUGAUAAGUGGAUUUAUCUGUGGAAUAAAACUGACAUGAACCCAGGGAUGGUGACUGUAAAUGCACCUAUUGGUUUACCUCCCGUGUUUGUUCGAAAGGACAGCUCUUUCAGAGAUGACAUAGUGUCUCUGGCAGACUAUAAAUACAUUCCGUUUGACCCGUCCCCUCCUAACAAUGUUUCAAACGAUUCUUCUUUUGUAGACAUUUUAUCUUCCGUUAUAUUAGUUGCUUUUUGUACGUUGUUUGCUCUGAGAAGCACAGGUUUGUAAAGUUUGGUCAUAGUUGAUCGCGAGCCACUAAAAUUGCUUCAAAGGCAUGACUGCACUUGUUUCAUUUUAAGUAUUAUUUCAUAAAAGGCAUGCGAUAUUCAGAGGCUUAUACUCAUCAAUGUUGUGCGUGUGGAUAUGGCAUAUACACUGUAUAUUAGGAAUUUUAUCAUAUAUUCUUAAAACAAUCCCGUCACAAAAACUACACAGCUCCUUAUUCAUUGGUCCCUUUAUUGAAUUGAAAAUUCAAAAUCAAGUAACCUGGUGGAUCCAUUAGAAUGAACAAGACCUUGGACUUUCAGAAGGAUGUAACAAUCUAUUUCUUGCGUCAAAACAAGUAAAAAAUGACGCUGGUUUCAAAUGAAAUAUACACCGAUUGCGUAGUCUUCGCUCAAAAUCCAGACAUAUCCUGGCUGAGUGGCCUAUAAUGAAAUAGACAGGCCUUCGUCACAUGGCGUUUGACACAACUAUACUUUAAGUCCAAGCUCUUUUUAAAAUGGUUCUAUUUGUCCAGUGAAAUAAAAUUAAUGAAAAAUCAUAAAAAGAUGCUCAUCUU